AUUGAACGCUGGCGGCAUGCCUUACACAUGCCAGUCGAACGGUAACGGGCCUUCGGGUGCCGACGAGUGGCGAACGGGUGAGUAAUACAUCGGAACGUGCCCGAUCGUGGGGGAUAACGAGGCGAAAGCUUUGCUAAUACCGCAUACGAUCUACGGAUGAAAGCAGGGGACCGCAAGGCCUUGCGCGGACGGAGCGGCCGAUGGCAGAUUAGGUAGUUGGUGGGAUAAAAGCUUACCAAGCCGACGAUCUGUAGCUGGUCUGAGAGGAUGAUCAGCCACACUGGGACUGAGACACGGCCCAGACUCCUACGGGAGGCAGCAGUGGGGAAUUUUGGACAAUGGGCGCAAGCCUGAUCCAGCCAUGCCGCGUGCAGGAUGAAGGCCUUCGGGUUGUAAACUGCUUUUGUACGGAACGAAAAGCCUUCUUUUAAUACAGGGGGGUCAUGACGGUACCGUAAGAAUAAGCACCGGCUAACUACGU
rnacentral:rRNA from 1 species